rnacentral:rRNA from 1 species
AGUGAACGCUGGCGGUAGGCCUAACACAUGCGAGUCGAGCGGAAGCACAAUAAGAUUGCGCCCUUACGGGUGGCGAGGGGCGGACGGGUGAGGAGUACAUAAGAUACCACUAUGACGUGGGUGAUAACGGGGAGAAAGUGCCGCUAAUACCGCAUAUGAUCUACGGGAGAGAGCAGUGGAUCUUGGCGGCUUUGGCGACUGAAAGAGCCGGAGUCGGAUUAGCUAGUUGGCUGGGUAAGGGCUCACCAAGGCAACGAUGCGUAGCUGGCCUGAGAGGAUGAUCGGCCACACUGGAACUGAGACACGGUCCAGACUCCUACGGGAGGCAGCAGUGGGGAAUCUUCGACAAUGGGCGAAAGCCUGACCGAGCAAUGCCGCGUGAGUGAUGAAGGUCUUCGGGUCGUAAAACUCUGUUGUUGGGAAAGAAAAACUGUGGAAUAAACUAUGGACGUUCUGACGGUACCUAAUCAGUAAGCACCGGCUAACUUCGUG